UGGGGAAUAUUGCGCAAUGGGCGAAAGCCUGACGCAGCAACGCCGCGUGAGUGAUGAAGGCCUUCGGGUCGUAAAGCUCUGUCGGAGGGAACGAAUGCUCUUGAGGUUAACAGCCUCGGGAGGUGACGGUACCCUCAAAGGAAGCACCGGCUAACUCUGUGCCAGCAGUCGCGGUAAUACAGAGGCCACAAGCGUUAGUCGGAAUCACUGGGCUUAAAGGGUGCGUAGGCGGGCCCGCAAGCGUCUUGUGAAAUCCCAUGGCUCAACCAUGGAAUUGCAGGGCGAACUGCGGGUCUUGAGGCAGGUAGGGGCCGGAAGAACAGUAGGUGGAGCGGUGAAAUGCGUAGAUAUCUACUGGAAUGCCGAUGGGGAAGCCGUCCGGCUGGGCCUGUCCUGACGCUGAGGCACGAAAGCGUGGGGAGCAAACAGGAUUAGAUACCCCAGUAGUCCCUGAGCGGGCUGGCAAGGCGCAU
rnacentral:rRNA from 1 species